rnacentral:lncRNA from 1 species
UUUUGAACUGAUACUUCGAAACAAACCUGUUGUGACAUUUUGCUAGCAAUCAGGUCACUGAAGGUGGGGCGGUGUCGGACGAAAAAUAAGCAGUUUGGAUUAUCCACAUACCUCUGUUGGUUUACCAUAUCACAUGAUGCAGCCGAUGUGCAUAAAAUCAAUAGCCGUGGGGAAGAUUUGUGUUCUUUGCUCUUCUCCUUCAUCAUUCAUAAUGCUAGCAUGGAGAAAAAGCAUUGUUGCCCAUCUCUUAUUUGAAAAGAUCGCAAAAUCCAAAAAAGGAUGAAAUGUAGAGACUGCGAGAGCAAUAGGAAUACCACCGAUGGAUCCCCUCAGUGGUCGUAUGUUGAUUGAAUAUUUGCCGCUGAUGAUCUGUACUUGAGGCAGGCCUCGAGGCGUUGGCAUCCAGCACUCCUUUGUCUCGGUGCCCAGCGGUAACGGUGCCAAGGGGGACAGUUCAUCGGCGCCGCCACCGUCUCCUCACCGCCAAGAUCGGCCUCCAGUCUCGCGUUGAGAGGAAGAAACGGGUGGGCAUGCAGGUACCUGCACUUGCCGGUGCGCGGCGGCAGUACCCGCUCGAUCUGCGCCUGCAUCUACUCGUCGGCGCCGAGCGCCUCCUCCUCGCUGCGCACAUUAUGGGGGGUUCCUCGUCGGCGCCGCGCUCCCGGCGCUCUACAUCCUCGACGGCCUCCGGUCCGGGGACACCACGGGGAUCGCCGCCGAGAGUGAGAGAGAAGGUGGGGGCCGGGCUUAGCCGGGAUCGGGGGAGCAGAUGGGGGACGGGCGGCGCCGGGAGCCGGGGAGGAGGUCGGGGGCUGGCGGCACCGAGCGGCGGCGAAGGGAUCUAGCGGUGGUGGUGAGGGGACGAAGGGCGGCGGCGGGGAACGAGGGCACAGAGUUGGGCAACUGUUUCUCGCUCGAGGGCAA